rnacentral:rRNA from 1 species
GACGUAGGAUGCAAGCGUUGUUCGGAUUUAUUGGGCGUAAAGCGAGCGUAGGUGGCUAGUUAAGUCUGGUGUUAAAGCUAGGGGCUCAACCCCUGUGUUGCACUGGAAACUGGCUGGCUUGAGGAUGGUAGGGGAAGGUGGAAUUCCGAGUGUAGCGGUGAAAUGCGUAGAUAUUCGGAGGAACACCAGUGGCGAAAGCGACCUUCUGGGCCAUUUCUGACACUGAGGCUCGAAAGCUUGGGGAGCAAACGGG